GACAGCUUUGCUGUUCGGGUGUCGUUUUGGGCCGUGCCUCGGGGCAUGCUUUACGCCGCUCAUUUGGCACAAGGGCACUUUGAGGACCCACCGGAGGCGGAUUUAGGGAGAAAACGAAGCCCCACAUGAAGAACCGCCUGCCUUGUACCGAUGCCACUACUUCAAAAGCGCAGAGGUUCCAAUCAAAACCCCUCCAUUGUGCCGUGUGAACCAAUAGAGACGGACAGAGUAAGUGUUUUUCUGUUGACAGUCACUUCAUCAUUAUUCACAAGACGGCUCUUUGUUUUCUUUGUUUUAGUGACCAUGUUAAAUUAGCUCGAAACAGAUGGGUGCUGUCUUGUUGCCAAGCCGUCUCAGUGAGAGCUGUGUGUGUGUGUGUGUGUGUGUGUGUGUGUGUGUGUGUGUGUGUGUGUGUGUGUGUGUGUGUGUGUGUGUGUGUGUGUGUGGCUAAUUACAGCUGAGAUGAACGCAGGGAUCUGCUUCUCCUAUUCUCCUAUUUGGCCGUCUUACUGUCCAGCUGUCAUACAGUAUAUGCAUAUGUGAGUGUGUGUGUAGGUUCUGGUGUCCAGAUGUCCUGGGGUUGUUGUCCUGCCAGUAUCGAGGGCUCCUGGGCUGCUGAGGUGGAAGGGAGGGCAUCCAUGGGACCGGCAUGAGCGCAUGGAGCCGAAGCCGUGAGAGGACUCCUCUGUCUUAUUCCAACCAGCUCAACACGCGCGCAUGCAUGUUUGGCGUCACACGCUCCGUCCCGCGCGCACAUGUGGCCCAAACGGCGGCCCGCAAUGAUGUCAUGUGCAGCUGCUCACCGGCUGACAGACAGGCAGCUUCCGCACAACAACACGGGGCCCUGUGGUCCGCCUGUCAGGCCGAUUGACGGGUGAAUGACACCAAUGAGAGCCAGCCGUCCCUCCCCCACGGAGCCGGGCACUGAGUGACAGCCAUGUGCUUUCAAACCACACUACCAAAAUACCCGACUGUCGAAAGAGCGGAUUGUUCUGCGGUAAAUGCCUGACAGUCAGAGCGGUGCUACGCCUUAGGAAAGCAGCGAGGGAAACCAUCGUGAUCUGGCAGCGCCGCAGAAUGGUGGCCAUUCAUCUCGGACCUUUCAGUGGGAACCCUCCGUCAUCUGAGAGCAGCGCAGACGGGCAAUCAAGCAGGCGAAAACACAGUUAUUUAUGUUUUUUUAUGUUGCUUUGUUUUUGUGAAGUCUGUGCGAAGUUAACGCUAAUCGCCUGAAAAGACCCAGCGCCGCGACUCGGACAGAGACGGAGUGAGCGACCAAAUGAGGAGGGGGUCCGAUGAGUGUCACGGGAUCCUGAAAGUGACAGCCCGCUGCCCCAUCUCGCCGAGCUAUCAAUCUCCGGGGCAUUCAAAAUAUCCAUAAUUGGUCAUAAUUGGAUUUAAUUGCCUCUGAUUGGCUGUAAUUGCGGCGAUGGGCUAAUCUGAUUGGAGAUCAGAGGGCCGGGGGUCCUGUGUGGCUUGUGAGCGAGUGUUCCCUUGCCCCUCUGUUGACCCAAGAUGUACACAUCAAACACAUGCUCUGUGUAACGCAGCUGAUUGCUACCGGUCGCUGCCGUGCGGUUUGGGAGCGGAUCAACACAGCGAGUUCUACGUGUUGAUGUAGCUACAACUUCCCUGUCAGUGCAGCGUGUAUCUGAAUCCAAACUGGAAACCUUUCCCCCAUGUAUAAAUAAAUUCAUGCUGGUUGUGUAUACAUAAUACCUGUAAGUGCAUUCAUGCAUACACUCACACACACAGGGCACCCUCGAA